AGCGAACGCUGGCGGCAGGCCUAACACAUGCAAGUCGAACGAAGUCUUCGGACUUAGUGGCGGACGGGUGAGUAACACGUGGGAACGUGCCCUUAGGUUCGGAAUAACUCAGGGAAACUUGUGCUAAUACCGAAUGUGCCCUUCGGGGGAAAGAUUUAUCGCCUUUAGAGCGGCCCGCGUCUGAUUAGCUAGUUGGUGAGGUAAAGGCUCACCAAGGCGACGAUCAGUAGCUGGUCUGAGAGGAUGAUCAGCCACAUUGGGACUGAGACACGGCCCAAACUCCUACGGGAGGCAGCAGUGGGGAAUCUUGCGCAAUGGGCGAAAGCCUGACGCAGCCAUGCCGCGUGAAUGAUGAAGGUCUUAGGAUUGUAAAAUUCUUUCACCGGGGACGAUAAUGACGGUACCCGGAGAAGAAGCCCCGGCUAACUUCAUGCCAGCAGCCGCCGUAAAAC
rnacentral:rRNA from 1 species